rnacentral:rRNA from 1 species
GUCUACGGCUAUGCCACCCCGAACAAGCCCAAUCCCAUCUGAUCUCAGAAGCUAAGCAGGGUUGGGCUUGGUUAAUACUUGGAUGGGAGACCACCUAGGAAGACCAAGUGCUGUAGGUA